GGGUGUAUGGUCUAGUGGUAUGAUUUUCGCUUCGCAUCCUCUCAAAGGCGCGAUUACCUGUGAAAGGUCCCCGGUUCAAUCCCGGGUGCAUCCA